UUUAAAAGAAAAUAGCAGGAACGUUUGACUCUUCGUCUUCAUCAGACUCAUAAUGUUCCUCAAAUUCAUCCUCAAGCAGCUUUUGUAAUUCUUCUUCAUGUUGUCUUUC
rnacentral:ribozyme from 1 species